CGCGAGCAACAGCCAGUACAUCGAUUGGUCAGUGUUUCGGUCAUUUUUAAUGAAGUUUUAGAAUUUUGUCGGAUAUCAUCGAGAGAUUCAUCCUUGAUGGAACUUUUUCAGAAGAUUUCCACUGAUUCUAGGACGAGGUGCUUGUUUACGAGCUUCCUGGAGGCGCCAGCCAGGCGAUCAUUUGAAUAUGAGGGCUUUUUAUUUUCAACGAAACAGGCUUUCGAUGGAGAAAGUUCGAGGCGGAUAGAUAGCGUGUCCGUCGAACAUCACGCGCGCGCGUGUGUGCACGAUUCAGUCCCGGUCAUUGCACGCCUCCCUACGGAUCCCGAUUUUUCGGUUUUCGUCCUUUUUUUUUUACGGAGGCCCUCUUCCUCUUCUUUUCGUCUCCCUUUGUGCUGUUUAAUCCUCAGCCCCCCGUCCCGCUGCUCCUUCGCUUCCUUGCACCGGCUGUCCUCGUCCCUCCGCCGCUUCGCCGCCGACGAAACUGCAUCGCGAUAUUUUAUUGGUUUUAUUCGCGGGAACAUCUGGCGCUCGGACAAAGGGAACUGGCCCUCAGGAAAUCUUCAGGAACGGAGGGUGGUUCGUCCGUUUUCGUUAGCCUGGUCGGCUCUAUUUACUUAUACCUAGUGACGUAGAAUGUUUGUAAACAAUGGCUUGGAUGCAGCCGUGGAUCGCCGAUCGACGCCAUCGUGGAUUAGGCUGCUCAUCCUGUCCAUUGAGGGUGGAUAUCUGGAGCGUCUAAUGGUCGACUCGAUACGUUUCUGGGGAAACUACGAAGACGUUUUUGAAUCAUCGUGCGACGUUUUUGGUGGUGGAAUGUUAACGACGCGGCGGAAAGAUAGAGAGAUUCUUGGAGAAUCGGCUUGCAGGCUUAACGUUUGCUAUGCGGAAUAACAGGACUUUCACGAUGGGCAAUCUAGGAUCUGCAUUCUCCACUCUUAAGAAUGACCCUUGAAAGGGAGACUCGAGACGAUUUGCAUACCAGGAUUUAUUGGCCACGUCGGAGCGCCGAUGAUAAUGUGAUCCGUUCGAAUUUACCGAACCUCGGCGUUGUACCAGCUUUCUCCGUUUUGUAACAUAACGUAGGAUGGAUCCUUACGAGACGAAGAGAAACAACUUGCAAGAGAGAAUUCUCCUAUCUAUGAAAGGAAAAAGCGCAGCUACGAAGCGCGGUUCGCUACAGGUGGUUUCAAAAGAUCGGUGGAUCUCAGGUCGAAGAAGAACCAUCGUGCCACGAUCUAUGCACACAUCGGGGCAACUCGCAAACCACUUCCCUCUCCUUUUGCAUCUGCUUGGACGCACGGAGCGUUCAGGAGAGCGGAUUUAAAACGAAGUUCGCGAGUGUAGGCGCGUUUCGGAACGAAAACAGACCGGUUCGCCAGGGCAGAGAGAGGCGCAACUCCAGCUUGUGGACCGAGCGACCGGCCAGCAUGGCGUCCCUUGGAUCCCUUUAAAACGAGUUAAUCCGUCUGCCUGGCCGUCUGCCGAUCGCCUGAGAACCAAGAAGAUUCAUUUUCCCUUUGUCCAUUCUUUUUCACACGUACCAAAAGGAGCUGCGGCUCAAUGGGACAAUGCAGCCAGCGCCGCGCGUUUUACGACGUUCCUUUUCGCACAGGUCCCACACACAUUUGAAUAAUCAACGCGUAGGCACAAGACCGCUUUUGUCGAACCGGGAACUCGAAAGGGAAAGAGAGAGAGAGAAUCAAGGAGAGGAAAGAGAAACGUCUCGAAGGCAGUCACGACAAAAGUGACACGCACGAUACGAAAUGAUUGUGUUGCAUAUUCUCGAACUGGACCCCGAAACACGGACAGAUGUUUCCCUUGCGUUCUCGUUUAGUUCGUCUCGAGAUCAUUUGUUCUGUCGCGCUACUAGAGCCAGAGGUGAAAAGACUACGCGUCGCGAUUACGUCAGACUUCCUUUCCUCCUUUUAAUUCGCGCGAGUUCGUUAACCUUCGACUCGUGAACUCUUCCUCUUAGCCGCUUCUCGAGGGAAUCUUCGUGGCCUUCUCUUUGCCCGUACGUCCCUUUCAAACGUUGUAUCGCGAACCUGGCCCUUGGUUUUUUGCCAAGGGUGAACGUUCUUCGAAAGAAAGCAACUCUUUUACAUCGUAUAAAGAAUCGUUUCUUUCACUUUUGUUUCUUUUCAGCAGACUCGACGAAAUGCUCGGACAAAUAUUACCAGGAUCCUGUGUGAUCCUUCCCGCGAAGCCUUCAACAGAAUACCAGAAAGAGUAACUUGAGAGAGGGAAUCGAUGUUCCUCGCCGCAGAUGUUCAGGCGUUUACGUAGACGGAGGGAAGUGUCUCGUAAAACCAUGUAAAUCUAAUGGACGAAGUUCGUUAACCUGACACGCGUGAAUUUAUGGCCGGUUCUCGAGGGAACAAAAGUGCCUUGAGAUCCUUCUGACGAACGAAACGCAUGUCGCACGUAUUUAGACGUUUUACGACUUCCUAUCGUUGCACGUAGCUCAUAACCGUGAACUUGGGAAUUCCUUCACAACGGGACAUUCUUGAUUUAUUAUUGUACUAUUUUGUUUGUCUAUGUCCCUUGCAAUUUAAGGCGUUACGCCGGUUCACGAUAAAUCAUUCACAACGUUAACCGCUAAUCUCGAAAGCGACGUCGAACUGAAAAUUCCACAUUUUUAAUCAUUUUCCCAAUACAGACCACGAAAAUAUCCUGUUACGCUUCUUAUAACGGAGAAAUAAUUUUCCCAGAAAUAACAAUCGAUUUCGAAAGCAACGAUGACUUGAGAGAAACUGACGCUGACUUUGGAUUAUUUUACCAAAACAGACCACCGUUACAUCGUUGAAUCUCACAAAACUAGCUAUCGAUUUGCAAAACAACGUUGAUAAAAGUUACCAUUUGGUCCAUUUGUCCAAUACAAAUCUCAGACUUCUUUUACAUACUGUAUGCUUCAAAUCUAUUAUUCAAGACAUUCACUGACAAUCAUCUAAGAACUCCCCACCGUUACACACAGCACCCAUUUCUCGCUAACCACGCUCAAUAUUCACCACGUCGAUGCAAUUUCUCUCGCAUAACGUAAAUGGUACCGCGAUUUAUCUCUCUGGAGCUACCAAUUAACUCACG